rnacentral:rRNA from 1 species
GUGAGGAAUAUUGCGCAAUGGAGGCAACUCUGACGCAGCCAUGCCGCGUGCAGGAAGAAGGCGCUACGCGUUGUAAACUGCUUUUAACCGGGAAGAAACCCCAGGACGUGUCCUGGGUUGACGGUACCGGAGGAAUAAGCACCGGCUAACUUCGUGCCAGCAGCCGCGGUAAUACGAAGGGUGCAAGCGUUAUCCGGAUUCAUUGGGUUAAAAGGGUGCGUAGGCGGAGCGUUAAGUCAGUGGUGAAAUCCUGCAGCUUAACUGUAGACUUGCCAUUGAUACUGGCGCUCUUGAGUGCGCUUGAAGUGGGCGGAAUGUGCCGUGUAGCGGUGAAAUGCUUAGAUAUGGCACAGAACACCAAUUGCGAAGGCAGCUCACUAAGGCGAUACUGACGCUGAGGCACGAAAGCGUGGGGAUCGAACAGGAUUAGAAACCCGUGUAGUCC